CAGUCGCCGCGGGAAAACGUAGGGGGCUAGCGUUGUCCGGAAUCAUUGGGCGUAAAGCGCGUGUAGGCGGCUUGACAAGUCUGCUGUGAAAGUCCAGGGCUCAACCCUGGAAUGCCGGUGGAAACUGUCAAGCUAGAGUCCGGAAGGGGAGUGUGGAAUUCCUGGUGUAGCGGUGAAAUGCGCAGAUAUCAGGAGGAACACCAAUGGCGAAGGCAGCACUCUGGGACGUGACUGACGCUGAGACGCAAAAGCGUGGGGAGCAAACAGGAUUAGAUACCCCCGUAGUCCCUGUCUCUUAUAC
rnacentral:rRNA from 1 species